GGCUAUAUGAGUUCAUGGUUAUGUCAUUCGGUUUGACGAAUGCGCAAACCGAGAUGGACUAGCUGUGGAUCCAAAGAAGGUAGCAGAGAUUCUGGACUAGAAAGCACCAGAAGAUGUCCGAGGAAUCAAGAGUUUCAUUGGAAUGGCCGGUUACUAUCGGCGUUUCAUUGAAGGUUUCUCCAAGAUUCCCAGGCUAAUAACAGCCUUGCUAGCAAAGAAGGUUGAGUUCAAGUGUACCCCAGCGUGCCAAGAAUCAUUUGAGAUGUUGAAGCAGAAGUUGACAACAACACCGGUAUUGGUUCUGCCAGAUGUUCACAAGCCGUUCUCAGUAUAUUGUGAUGCUUCAUACACCGGACUGGGAUGUGUGUUAAUGCAGGAAGGGAAAGUAGUGGCAUACUCGUCCCGACAGUUGAAAGUUCAUAAGAAGAAUUACCCCACUCAUGAUCUGGAGUUAGCAGCAGUGGUUCAUGCACUAAAGACCUGGAGACAUUAUCUUUGUGGGCAGAAGUCUGAUAUCUACACGGAUCACAAGAGCCUCAAGUACAUAUUCACUCAGUCAGAGUUAAACAUGAGGCAAUGAAGAUGACUAGAAUUGAUCAAAGACUAUGAGCUGGAGAUUCAUUAUCACCCAGGCAAAGCAAAUGUGGUUGCAGAUGCUCUAAGCAGAAAGAGUCAAGUUAAUAUGUUGGCCGCUCACCUGAUGUCGUUCGAGCUAGCAAAAGAAUUCGACAGGCUAAGUCUCGGAUUUCUGAACAACACUCAAUGUAACACCCCACUGUAACACCCCACUGAUCCCACACAAUGGAUGAUACCAAAAAAACCUUUCUACAAAACUUAUGCAACACAUAGAGAAAGAAAGUAUUGCAAAAUCCGGCAGCACCUCCCUUGAAAGUAGCAUAACAAGGGAAGCAUAUAGUUUAUACAGGAUAUAAAAGAAAGAUAAUUGACAUAGUAUCAAAAUGCAACGGUAGGAAAGAACAUUCAUGACCAGACAAAAGAUAGACAUCUCAGCCCACCAAACUAAACAGUUCAACUACCAUGAAAGAUUAGAAUGUAAUAAUUCCCUAGACUUGACUCUUCCUGUUUAACAUCAUUAUUAAUCAGUUAUUCCUUUAUUUAAAAGUGUGGUGGCCGUGCUGCUACAUCCCUUCCUUCCCAAAGCAAAGAUCAGGUGCCUGCAUCAGACAAUGCAAGAGUGAGAUGACACAUCUCAGCUAGUAAAAAAAACAAACAACAGUUGGACAAUGCAAGCCAACCGUGCAUAAGCAACCACAUGGUUCCCAACUUCUUCCUUAAAUAUUAAUUUGCAGCAAGUAAGCAAGUAAUCAAUUACUCAAUGCCAAGAUGAAUUACAAAGUAAAGAUCCACCUUAUCCACAUCACCAAAAUAGGUUCCACACUUCACCCAUGAAUGCACAUGGCUACAGAUGCAACAUGACUUCUGCCUUCAUACCUCUAAGGAUAUGAAGCUGCAUCAUACCCCUUCUCGGGAAACAUAUGAUGCUCAUUGUACCGGUACGGUCGGACCAUAAGAUCGCGACGAAACUUCAAUGCAAUGGAUGAUGAAUGCAUUAUGCAUGUCAACAACAUGAGUUCUUCCCAAAUAAGAUGUGCUAGACAUAUACUUCCACCCAUUUCACAUCAAUAAUCACAUGGGUAACAUGAUCAAACCACACCCUCCCCAUGUAUAAUCAAUAAAGCAUGAAUAAUUUCAAACGAUGGUACCCAAUUAGGAAUAUGGAUACGAACACAAAUAGCACAAACAUAAUCAAGUAUAAGACUCUUCAAUCAAAAGACGAAAUAACCAUCACUGUUUUACUUGCCUUUACCGAAGUUUGGGCAAAAUCCCUAAGAACGAUCCAGAAGUCCACCACCUGUUUUUGACACCCAACUUAGUGCACCAAAUUCUCAUGAAAAAAAACUCAAAGACAACACCGCACCUACGCGCAAUCUCAAACCCCGCCGCGGUAACAAUUCUCCCCUCACUAACCAAACUGCAGCGGCGCUGCUUAACAAUUCCAUAACUUAAAAUUUAGGACAGCAGUGAUGAUAAACAAAAACUUCAGAGACAACUACAUAAAAUUCCCCACAAGUUUUGUAUACAACUCAUGAUUGAAUUCUAACAUCUACUUACCUCUAAACGGUCCUCAAAAUAAACCCUGCAAUCUGUUUUUUUCUGAUUUGAGCAGCGACAUACGCGGAUUCAAACAGCGAUAACUUUUAAAAUAUAAUUCCGAUUUGAGCGCAUAAGUACUUGUUGGAAAGAUAAGAAAAAGCCCUACAUGAUUCUCAUACUGAUUAACACUAAUUACUCCCGAAACAUCCCCAGAAACUGCUAACACUGCUGCUGUUCAUCACUCUGAAAAAUCUGUUUUCUGGACAGCCACAUACCCGGAUUCAAACGAUGAUAACUUUUAAUUUACAACUCCAAAUUGAGCGCAUAAAUACUCGUUGGAAAGAUAAAACAAAGUUCUACAAGAUUCUCAUACUGAUUAACACUAAUUACUCCCGAAACAUCCCAGAAACUGCUAACACUGCUGCUGUUCAUCACUCUGAAAAAUCUGUUUUCUGGACAGCCACAUACCCGGAUUCAAACGAUGAUAACUUUUAAUUUAUAACUCCAAAUUGAGCGCAUAAAUACUCUUUGGAAAGAUAAAACAAAGUUCUACAAGAUUCCCAAAUUGAUCCCCAUUAAAUCUUCACGAAAAAAAACCUAAAAACUGCUGGAACUACCGCUGUUCAUCCACCACGCAAAAUUCUGGACAGCCCCCCUCUAUCUAAUCGCAAACGCAACAUCUAAUCAAUUGAAUCGCAGCGCAAAUGAACAAGGGAUGAACACAAAAGAAAAAUCACCUUGGGUUCUCCCCUUUUCCUUCCUCCCUUCUUCCUUCCCCCAAAACGAUUGGAGAUUCGCACCAAAAGACGAUGAUCCGAGCGACACGGAGUAGCACCUAGGGAGGAGGGGAUUGGGGGAGGGCGGCUAGGGUUUUGGUGGCGGCAACAAUGGAGGGAGGAGGAGGUGGGCAGGGGGGGG
rnacentral:lncRNA from 1 species